rnacentral:rRNA from 1 species
GAUGAACGCUGGCGGCGUGCUUAACACAUGCAAGUCGAACGAUUAACCCGCCUUCGGGCGGUCAUAGAGUGGCGAACGGGUGAGUAACACGUGACCAACCUGCCCCAGACAUCGGGAUAACUGCCGGAAACGGCAGCUAAUACCGGAUACUAUCCGCACCUCGCAUGAGGAGCGGAUGAAAGCUUUCGCGGUCUGGGAUGGGGUCGCGGCCCAUCAGGUAGUGGGUAGGGCAGUGGCCUACCUAGCCAACGACGGGUAGCCGGACUGAGAGGUCGAUCGGCCACAUUGGGACUGAGAUACGGCCCAGACUCCUACGGGAGGCAGCAGUGGGGAAUAUUGCGCAAUGGGGGAAACCCUGACGCAGCAACGCCGCGUGCGGGAUGAAGGCUUUCGGGUUGUAAACCGCUUUCAGCAGGGAAGAUAAAAGACGGUACCUGCAGAAGAAGCCCCGGCUAACUACGUGCCAGCAGCCGCGGUAACAC